rnacentral:rRNA from 1 species
AUGAACUUCGCCGACGUGACGACGUGGGAGCGCGCACAGGAGUUGGCGCCUUUCCCGCGGCUUCUCACCGACGAGGAUCAUCGCAAGCACCAGAGGCGGGAGCAUCGUCUCAGGCUGGCCGAGAUGGACGAGCAAGCCAUGGCACUGUGGAGUCAUCGCUUCCCGGAAGACACCAACGAGGAACAGUGUUUCGCCCAGAGGAGGGCGAAGAGGGCGAAGAGGAGGGAGGAGCGAGCCGACUAUCACGAGGACAAGCGAACGCGGAAGGCGGUCGCUAAAUACAACCAAGCGCUAGAAGAUGCGUCCUCCUGA